GACGAACGCUGGCGGCGUGCUUAACACAUGCAAGUCGAACGAUGAAGCCUAGCUUGCUAGGUGGAUUAGUGGCGAACGGGUGAGUAAUACGUGAGUAACCUACCUUUAACUCUGGGAUAAGCCUGGGAAACUGGGUCUAAUACCGGAUACGACCAAUCUCCGCAUGGGGUGUUGGUGGAAAACGUUAUGUAGUGGUUAUAGAUGGGCUCACGGCCUAUCAGCUUGUUGGUGAGGUAACGGCUCACCAAGGCGACGACGGGUAGCCGGCCUGAGAGGGUGACCGGCCACACUGGGACUGAGACACGGCCCAGACUCCUACGGGAGGCAGCAGUGGGGAAUAUUGCACAAUGGGCGCAAGCCUGAUGCAGCGACGCCGCGUGAGGGAUGACGGCCUUCGGGUUGUAAACCUCUGUUAGCAGGGAAGAAGAGAAAUUGACGGUACCUGCAGAGAAAGCGCCGGCUAACUACGUGCCAGCAGCCGCGGUAAUACGUAGGGCGCGAGCGUUGUCCGGAAUUAUUGGGCGUAAAGAGCUUGUAGGCGGUUUGUCGCGUCUGCUGUGAAAGGCCGGGGCUUAACCCCGUGUAUUGCAGUGGGUACGGGCAGACUAGAGUGCAGUAGGGGAGACUGGAACUCCUGGUGUAGCGGUGGAAUGCGCAGAUAUCAGGAAGAACACCGAUGGCGAAGGCAGGUCUCUGGGCUGUAACUGACGCUGAGAAGCGAAAGCAUGGGGAGCGAACAGG
rnacentral:rRNA from 1 species